rnacentral:lncRNA from 1 species
AGGGAGAGAAGUAUGGAAGCUGGUUUGCUGGGGCCACCCAGGGUGGGCUCAGGAAGGGAAGGAAUGUGACUGAGGCUGGGUGGGGCUGAGGAGAGCACAGCCAGUUGUGGGUUUUUCCUGAGGCCCAGAGAGACAUGAAUGGAUGCGGAAGCCCCUUGCUCCCAGCCCCCAGCACACACACUAGGACCUUUCUUCA